rnacentral:rRNA from 1 species
GACGAACGCUGGCGGCGCGCCUAACACAUGCAAGUCGAACGAGCGAGAGAGAGCUUGCUUUCUUGAGCGAGUGGCGAACGGGUGAGUAACGCGUGAGGAACCUGCCUCAAAGAGGGGGACAACAGUUGGAAACGACUGCUAAUACCGCAUAAGCCCACGACCCGGCAUCGGGUCGAGGGAAAAGGAGCAAUCCGCUUUGAGAUGGCCUCGCGUCCGAUUAGCUAGUUGGUGAGGUAACGGCCCACCAAGGCGACGAUCGGUAGCCGGACUGAGAGGUUGAACGGCCACAUUGGGACUGAGACACGGCCCAGACUCCUACGGGAGGCAGCAGUGGGGAAUAUUGCACAAUGGGGGAAACCCUGAUGCAGCGACGCCGCGUGGAGGAAGAAGGUCUUAGGAUUGUAAACUCCUGUUGUUGAGGAAGAUAAUGACGGUACUCAACAAGGAAGUGACGGCUAACUACGUG